rnacentral:rRNA from 1 species
UCGAACGGAGAGAUACGAGAGCUUGCUCUUGUAAAUCUUAGUGGCAAACGGGUGAGUAACGCGUAAACAACCUGCCCAACGGAUGGGGACAACAGACGGAAACGACUGCUAAUACCCAAUAGACUCCGGUUUCGCAUGAAACCGACAGGAAAGGUGGCCUCUCGAAGAAGCUACCGCCGCAGGAGGGGUUUGCGUUUGAUUAGUUAGUUGGUGGGGUAACGGCCUACCAAGACGAUGAUCAAUAGCCGGUCUGAGAGGAUGAACGGCCACACUGGAACUGAGACACGGUCCAGACUCCUACGGGAGGCAGCAGUGGGGAAUCUUCCGCAAUGGACGAAAGUCUGACGGAGCAACGCCGCGUGAGUGAAGAAGGCCUUCGGGUUGUAAAGCUCUGUUAUUCGGGAAGAACGACUCGUUUGUGAACAAUGAACGGAAGUGACGGUACCGAAAGAGAAAGCCACGGCUAACUACGUGCCAGCAGCCGCGGUAAUACGUAGGUGGCAAGCGUUGUCCGGAAUUAUUGGGCGUAAAGAGCGCGUAGGCGGUAUGAUAAGUCUGUCUUAGAAGUGCGGGGCUUAACCCCGUGAGGGGACAGAGACUGUCAUACUAGAGUCUCGGAGAGGAAAGCGGAAUUCCUAGUGUAGCGGUGAAAUGCGUAGAGAUUAGGAAGAACACCGGUGGCGAAGGCGGCUUUCUGGACGAGCACUGACGCUGAGGCGCGAAAGCGUGGGGAGCGAACAGGAUUAGAUACCCUGGUAGUCCACGCCGUAAACGAUGGGUACUAGGUGUAGGAGGUAUCGACCCCUUCUGUGCCGGAGUUAACGCAAUAAGUACCCCGCCUGGGGAGU